GAUGAACGCUGGCGGCGUGCCUAACACAUGCAAGUCGAGCGAACAGACGAGGAGCUUGUUCCUCUGACGUUAGCGGCGGACGGGUGAGUAACACGUGGAUAACCUACCUAUAAGACUGGGAUAACUUCGGGAAACCGGCGCUAAUACCGGAUAAUAUAUUGAACCGUAUGGUUCAAUAGUGAAAGACGGUUUUGCUGUCACUUAUAGAUGGAUCCGCGCUGCAUUAGCUAGUUGGUAAGGUAACGGCUUACCAAGGCAACGAUGCGUAGCCGACCUGAGAGGGUGAUCGGCCACACGGGAACUGGAACACGGUCCAGACUCCUGAGGGAGGCAGCAGUAGGGAAUCUUCCGCAAUGGGCGAGAACUUGACGGAGCAGCGCCGCGUGAGUGAUGAAGAUCUCCGGAUCGUAAAACUCUGUUAUUAGGGAAAAACAAAUGUGUAAGUAGAUGUGCACAUCUUGACGGUACCUGAUCAGAAAGCCACGGCUAACUACGUG
rnacentral:rRNA from 1 species